AUCUUCACCUCCUCACGAUUUGCCUGUCCGGCAGGCGGCUCCACUCCUGCCUUCCCCUAGGAAGCGCAGAGCUGGCCCCACACAGCUUCAAUUAGGGGAAGAGCGGGAUGUGGAGGUUAGACCGAAGAGGGCCAGACUGGCAGGAUGCAGGAGUGAAAAUCAAUGUUCACCUCCUCAUGCUCCGCCUGUCGGGCAGGUAAUUUUCUUGCGACCUCCACCCCUGCGCGUCUCGAGGAAGCACUCUGCUCCUUUCUCGCAGGGAGUGGAGGUUAGCCCCAAGAAAGCCAGACUGGCAGGAUGCGAGAGUGAGAAUCAUCUGCAUGCCCAGCAGGCACCUCCUCCGGCACCUCCUGCAGAUGGGUCAGUUCAAAUAUUUUGGAAAAGACGAAGUGUACAAAAGCACAUUUAAUUCCCAUCACAAGAGACAACAGGA